rnacentral:rRNA from 1 species
GAGUUUGAUUCUGGCUCAGGAUGAACGCUGGCGGCGUGCUUAACACAUGCAAGUCGAACGGGCGAAUUAUAUCGGAGGUCUUCGGGCCGAAGAGAUAAUAAGCUAGUGGCGGACGGGUGCGUAACGUGUGGGUAAUCUGCCUUUGUCAUAGGAAUAACUGCUUGAAAAAGUAGCUAAUACCAAAUAACAUAUCGUAUAGGCAUCUAUAAGAUAUCAAAGAGAAAUCGGACAAAGAUGAGCCCGCAUCUGAUUAGCUGGUUGGUAGGGUAAAAGCCUACCAAGGCGACGAUCAGUAGCCGGCCUGAGAGGGUGAACGGCCACAUUGGAACUGAGACACGGUCCAAACUCCUACGGGAGGCAGCAGUGGGGAAUAUUGCACAAUGGGGGGAACCCUGAUGCAGCAACGCCGCGUGAGUGAAGAAGGCUUUCGAGUCGUAAAACUCUGUGUAAGGGAAGA